GGGAGCUUAGCUCAGCUGGGAGAGCAUCUGCCUUACAAGCAGAGGGUC
rnacentral:tRNA from 1 species